CACAACAAACACCAUAAUAAUUAAAAAAAAAAAAAAAUCGCAAGUAAUCACAAUAUUAUGUCAAUAUUGGGCUACUCUUUUGGAAGGUAUUUUCUUCUACCCCCCACCCUCCAAAAAAAAAAGGCACAUACAGUAUGUAACAAAGGAAAAUAGCCACUUUUAAGCUUUUAAAGUAAAUCCAAGUGGCCAACAGUGUUUCAAUGUAUAUCAGAAACAUGCAAGUAGACCUGAGAAAAGCAUCCCUGGAAUGCAGAUCCAUACACAGGUGUUAGAUCAACUCUGUAAUAGUUUUGUUGUUGCCAAAAGAGGGCCUGCAUAAACAAAAAUAUAUCACAAGUAAAAAACUAUUACUUAUUCGGAAUGGUCUACUUAAACAAUAUGAAAAGUUUUCUGCAAUUGCAGCAUUAUGCAUACAGCAAUAAGAAAGUUCCACUAUGUUAACUUCUUUAAAUCAUUGCACUCCUUCAAUGAAGUGUACAGGUGACAAGAAUGAAGUUGGUCCAGAAAAACUUCAACAUAAUUGUUUCAAAUACAUACCUUAUUAGCAAUUUCAAUAAAUAAAUAUUCAUCGCUGAAAGGUGCCACAUGUAUUCUGCAAGAGAAUGCAACUUCAACUCAAUAGUAUCUAAAAUAACAUAUUAAUAAUUUGGAUGUGCAAAUACUAGAAGCACAAGAAAUACUGAUAGAGUAAGGCACUUAAAUCAAGUGGAGGAAAUGGAAAUAUGCAAUUAUACUAAGAACAGAAGGAUUACAGUAAUGAAUUACAGCAAUUCCUCACUAUCCUCUCUUGCUCUCAAUACAAGUUUAUUCAAAAGAAACUAUCCAAGUCUCACAAAAAACCUGGCCCAGCAACUAUGCCGAAAUAAGAAGAGCCAAGCCCUCACCAGCAGAAAGAAUUCUGCCCCCAGGAAAUAAAACUAAUUUUUCUUCCUCUGCUCAUCCAUUUCUUCCUCAAUUUAUACACCUCUUUUUCCACUUUACAGCUGUCAUCACAUGCUCCCAGCACCUCAUCCUUUCCGUUACAAAUUCUUCUAUAAUUUUCUAGAAUUCUCCAGGCUCUCCUCCACAUCCCUAUCAAAUACAGAUAAAAAAAAAUCCUAAUAAUGCAUAAGCCAGCCAUAGGAUUAUACCAACUGGAUUGGGAUCAGGGCUUAGUUGAGUUGAGAACAAACGCCAACCACAUGUAAAAUCACUGGGACAAGCGGCAGAUGCAUGCAUCUAAUCAUAUAGAUUAUGGAACAAAUAACAUGCGUUUAAAACCUGGUGUUGACAAGUACAUAUCAUAGAACAAAACAUUAAAUUUUCACUUUAGUUGUCAAGAAAAAAAAACCCAAAGUACAUUUCAUAAGAUUAUCAUGUGUAGUUAAGGAAUAACCAGCAUUAAAUAAUAUCACUGUCACAAAGCAUCUUGCAUGAGAAUAAAAAAACCUGAGUUAAGAUCAUGACUAAAAUAGUCACACUGGACUUCUAGGCAAGUCAGUGACAAUACGUCCAAGAUCAAGGAAAGCAAGAUUCAAAGAGGGAGCAUUUGAAGAAUAACACUUACCUUCCAACUGUAGGGAACAUUUUUCCAUUAGGGAGAAGAAACCGAUCUCUGGCAAUUACGUAGGACUCUAACAUUCUUUCAUUGACCAAUAAGGUGCCCAUUGGUUCAGAGAUCAGAAUAUCUGCUUUCUCCGGCAAUUCAACUUCCUCGACUUUACCCUUUAUUACCGUAAUCCUUUCACCCAGUGAUGGGUUCCCAGCAAUUAGUCUGCGAGCAUAUUCUGCCAUUUCAGAUGCUUCCACAGCAUAAACAUGCUUCGCACCAGCCUGAGCAGCAAAUAAAGACAAAAUACCACUACCAGCACCAACAUCAACAACAACACGACCAAAAAAAUCUGCACGGUUCUCAAUGACAGCAGCAUAAUAGGUUCCUGUCCUCACAUAAUCCUGUAGCAUAUUUUGUUGAUGUAGCAGUUGUCCAUAAUAAUGAAAAUACAUUUUAGCAGAUGAUGCCUCUAUUUUAUAAUCAAACUUGCUUUUAUGAGCUGUGACUGCUCCAUUUGGUAAAGUUAUUCCUCUUUACUAGUAUCAGAUGCUAAAUCUUCAUAUAUGCAAACUGACCGAUCAGGUCCUAGCUUGAAUAACUGAGCAGUACUAAGAUCGACGUCAAUAAAAUCAGUAGCGUCAGACUCGGAAAGAAAUCGAAGCUCCACUACUCCAUUAUCGGCGCUAUACCUAGCAACCACUGGAGAAGCUAAACAAGAAGAAGAAGAAGGAUAUAGCUCAGUUAUUGAUGCCAAAGCCAACUGUUGUUGUUUUUUCAGUUUUUGGCCUGCUGAAACCUCCAUUACUGCCUCCAACAAGCUCAAUCCCUAAGAUUUAAAUAUAGAGAGAAAGAUCUAUAUACUUGAGAGCCUAACUACGGGCAAGGGUGUGUGUAAAGCAUUUACAGUGAGUGAAAUUAGGCUUUGCAAAAAGCGCCAAACUUGAGAGUGAGUGAGGGGCUUAGGACCGCUACAGAGAGAACAGGAUACUAACUUGGCCUUCUAUAACCCAACUGUUUCUAUAAAUUAGUUUCUUUUAUUAAGAGCUUGGGUUCAGAUUCAGUCCUUUUAAGCGGCGAAAUUUUUCUUAAUCUUGAUUUUUGACAUUGUAAUUUCUUCCAAUGAAGAGGGAGAUGAAUGUGAGCCGUCUGACUAGUUUUGAUCGUGGGACCAUGAGUGAUGGGUGGGUUAGUAGUCUACUUUGCCUCAAGUGGGGGAGUGGAUGCAUUCACUAUACAAUUGACCAUGUGGGAAAGCUGCAAUUGGAAGGGUUUAUGGAGGAGGGUUCAUCUGCUCCUCACAUUCACAUAUUUAAAGGUCCAUAUUAUUCCAAGCUUUGUGUCAAAUUCUUCAUGUUUAGAUGGAAGAAAGAAGCUCGCUUUUCUACAA
rnacentral:misc_RNA from 1 species